UACGGAGGAUGCAAGCGUUAUCCGGAAUGAUUGGGCGUAAAGCGUCCCAGGUGGCAAUGUAAGUCUGCUGUUAAAGAGUCUAGCUCAACUAGAUACAAGCAGUGGAAACUACAUAGCUAGAGUACGUUCGGGGCAGAGGGAAUUCCUGGUGUAGUGGUGAAAUGCGUAGAGAUCAGGAAGAACACCGGUGGCGAAGGCGCUCUGCUAGGCCGCAACUGACACUGAGGGACGAAAGCUAGGGGAGCGAAUGGG
rnacentral:rRNA from 1 species